ensembl:lncRNA
GACAGGAGAGAGCUUCCCCCAUCCACUAUCAAAUAACUAUUCAGUGCUUUCCAAACUCACCUGUUUAUUCAUGAAUGGGGCACAGCUGUGAGCAGCACAGGCUGCUGGGACAGCAAGUUGUGAAGAGUCUUGCUGGCCAGCUGGCACUUUUUGCUAAAGGUUCUUUUUAUAACUGGUCACUGGAGGUAAAACUGGAGUGAAUUUGGAUUGGGUGUCUGCAUUUCAGCCGGAAGCCUCUCCAAGGAGGAAAGAGCUCAAGGGUCCUUUGCCUCUCAGCUGGUGUCACUUCAUGCUGCAGGUGAAGCAAAUCAGCCAAGAGGUAUCUCAUGACUCUGCCUUCCUGCUUCAAGCCAGUGAAGGUUUCUGUGAAGGACCACUCAGCUUCAGGGACUGAGUGAAGUCUAACCACCCUACUGACUCAGCCCUGCAAUGCUCAGCAGCCAAGAGGAAGAACAAGCAGAUGAUGCCCUAGUUGACAUCAGAGAGUCAACAGCAAAGGCAGGAGAAAAGCCUUAAUUCCUGAGUACUUUCUCUUCAUUGUAGAUUUCUGUUGGGAAAUAUAUUCACACAUAUGCAUUAACCUGGAUAUUUCCAGUGCUUUAAAUUAAAAAUGAACUGACUUUUUUUUUCUUUUGCUUGGCUUCUAGUGUUGUAAAUAUGUUCAUUUCUCUGUGUUCUUAAUGAAAGUGGCUUUCUUCCUCUGUGCUUUUUUUUUUCUCUGUAAAGACACCUACAAAACUGUAUGAAAGUAAAGUACAUUUCUAUGGGACAAAGAGAAUGAACUCUUAUCGCUCUCUCUCCCUCUCAAAGAAAAGCUAAACCUUCAGCACUUCCCUGUUGUCUUUUGUAAACAUCCUUGUGCAUGUAAGUGCUAUGGGGUGCCCAUACAGGAUAUGCAGCGUGCACAGCGUGUAACAAUAGUACUUCUCCAGAAAUACUUAC